UACAAAAUCACUGAAAGUCUAAUGUAAUUGAUAAAAGUACUCAAGUUGGACAGUAUGAAUGUUAUUAACUGAAGUUGGUUAAGAUCGUUGCUUCAUAAAUUCACCAUUGCGUAAAGCUUUCAUUGAUUAUCACAGAAGUUCAUUGAUUCUUGUUGAAGACUUGGACUAGCAGCACUCUAGCCUAAAUUAACGGAUUAAAAUUUACCAUGGACCUGAUCAGUACUCAUUGCAACGGCGGUCGUAAGAAUACGCAACAACAAGGGUUCACUACGUAUUCUGCUACACAUUGAAGCAAAGAAGGCAGCUUUAAUGUGCCUCUAUGUUUCGAUUGCUUCAGAAUAGAAAAAAAGAACCAAAAGUACUGCUAAGGGAAUUACUACAAGCCGAAGGGUUUUUGCCUGAAGAGGAGAAGCUCUAUGUGACCGAGCAAGAGGUCAUUGAAAUUUCUUCUUCAUCUCCAUCGUCUUCGUCAGAGAAAUGCAAAAAUUAAUAAUUAAUGAUAGAAGGAUGAAUUUAUGAUCCUGGCCUGGUACUGAUCAGAUUGGUAUUUCUUAAUGUAGUUUAAGCUUAGUUUUAAACAUUAUCAGCAGGAUGUAACUACUGUAUUUUACUUGCAUUACUAAUUACUCUUUGAAAGAUUUAAUUGCAAUUAUUUUUAUCAUAGGCCUAAUGAAUAUUGACAAAAUUCCUUUCUAUGUACAUGGUGCUACAAAAAAGUGUUGAUAUGUUGUUUAAGACUCCCAAACCAAUCCGGAUAAGGAGAAUGAAAAAAUGUACAAAGUAUUUCUUUGUUAGAUGAUUAUGGUUUAAUUAGAUAAUUAUAAAACGUAAUGAUACCGGAGAGCAAUACCGUUAGAAGAAU